rnacentral:lncRNA from 1 species
UUUAAAAUCAUAUGAGUCCCCUUACAAUUCUUACAAACCCAGAAUAUAACAUCUGAUCUAACCUAUUACUUUACACCUUUGAAUAUAACUGAAUAUACUAUAUGGAACUUUAUUGAUCAGUUUACAAAUUUAUGUUGUUCAAUCCAGUUUUUUACGAAUACAAAAUUGAGCAAGGUAAAAUAUAAAUUAUAUGAUUGCCUUAAACUAAAUACCUAAAGAGAAUUUUUUAAACAGCUGCUACUCCAACUUCAAAUCAGUUGAGAUUCUCCUGAAUUUGACCAUGAGGAGGGGUCAUAUGCAUAAGUCAUCUUCAAAUGCAGGGACCUACAAUGUAAUCAAGGUUAAUCCUAACAUAAAAAUGGGCAGAAGGGAAAAGACAACGUGCCCAUAAGUUUAAUCAUUGUGAGGCUCAGUCUUAUAGACAAAUAAUGACCCCCCAAAUCAUGAUUUGUUCCAUGGUUCUCAUUUCAGUACAGGAAAAGAGUGGGGAGGUGAAUAACAUAGACAUAUACUGAACAUCUAGGUUAUUAUGCACUCAUAAGGGAUGAAUCUGACCCUUUAAAUGGUCAGAUUCACUUUCAUUUUGUGAUGCCAUAGGAGAAAAACUUUUGAUAUGGUUUCAAAGGUGCAUAUGUAUAUUAUUUUUUUAAUUCGAAAAUGUAAUUUUUUACAUAUUAAUACAACACAACCUUACAGAUUUCAUGGUUUCAGCUCAAGAAAACAUUUAGUCUAAACAAAAGAAUCAUGAUUCCCAAACAAAAUACCAAAGAUCAGCUAAUCAAACAAGUUUCAAAUGUAGAUUUUUUAACACAGAAAUUGAUUCUAUUCAAGAGGAGCAUUGUACAUACCUUGAAACUGAAAACUAUGACUAAAGAAUGACCAAAAAAAAGUCAAAAAGAUAGAAGAGAAAUGAAACACAAACUUCAGCAGUAAAACAACAGAUCAGAAACAGCACAACCUGAAUAGCCUAGACAUUUAAAAAUAAACCCAAAACUAACUUCAAAAUAGAAGAUUCAGAUAGAGAAACUAGGAAACGUUUCUAUUCAAACCAUGUUCUUGACAUGCAUAGAAUCAGAAAAAUGAGAAAAGAUUUUUUGAGUUUUUCCAGAAUUUUCGGGAAUCUGAAGUUUUCAGAGCAAGGAAUGUUUUGCAAUAAUUUUU